rnacentral:misc_RNA from 1 species
GAUGAAGAACGUAGCGAAAUGCGAUAAGUAAUGUGAAUUGCAGAAUUCAGUGAAUCAUCGAAUCUUUGAACGCAUCUUGCGCGCCUUGGUAUUCUGAGGAGCAUGCCUGUUUGAGUGUCAUUAAAUUCUCAACUACACUGACUUUGAAUUGGUGUGGCUUGGAUUUGGGGGGAAAAUUGUUGUGGGCUUUUUGUAUAGUCUGCUCCCCUGAAAUUGAUUAGCGGUACCUUUGUGGAACUGUCUACAGGUGUGAUAAUUAUCUACAUCUUAGACAUCUGCUGGAAUGCUGCUUUCUAAACCUUACUUGUAUUGACAAUCUUGACCUCAAAUCAGGUAGGACUACCCGCUGAACUUAAGCAUAUCAAUAAGCGGAGGA